GGAGGGUUGCCUGAGUGGUUAAAGGAGCGGUUUGCUAAACCGUGACCGAGUAAUCGGUCCGUGGGUUCGAUUCCCACACCCUCCG
rnacentral:tRNA from 1 species